GGUUAAGCGACUAAGCGUACACGGUGGAUGCCCUGGCAGUCAGAGGCGAUGAAGGACGUGCUAAUCUGCGAUAAGCGUCGGUAAGGUGAUAUGAACCGUUAUAACCGGCGAUUUCCGAAUGGGGAAACCCAGUGUGUUUCGACACACUAUCAUUAACUGAAUCCAUAGGUUAAUGAGGCGAACCGGGGGAACUGAAACAUCUAAGUACCCCGAGGAAAAGAAAUCAACCGAGAUUCCCCCAGUAGCGGCGAGCGAACGGGGAGCAGCCCAGAGCCUGAAUCAGUGUGUGUGUUAGUGGAAGCGUCUGGAAAGGCGCGCGAUACAGGGUGACAGCCCCGUACACAAAAAUGCACAUGCUGUGAGCUCGAUGAGUAGGGCGGGACACGUGGUAUCCUGUCUGAAUAUGGGGGGACCAUCCUCCAAGGCUAAAUACUCCUGACUGACCGAUAGUGAACCAGUACCGUGAGGGAAAGGCGAAAAGAACCCCGGCGAGGGGAGUGAAAAAGAACCUGAAACCGUGUACGUACAAGCAGUGGGAGCACGCUUAGGCGUGUGACUGCGUACCUUUUGUAUAAUGGGUCAGCGACUUAUAUUCUGUAGCAAGGUUAACCGAAUAGGGGAGCCGAAGGGAAACCGAGUCUUAACUGGGCGUUAAGUUGCAGGGUAUAGACCCGAAACCCGGUGAUCUAGCCAUGGGCAGGUUGAAGGUUGGGUAACACUAACUGGAGGACCGAACCGACUAAUGUUGAAAAAUUAGCGGAUGACUUGUGGCUGGGGGUGAAAGGCCAAUCAAACCGGGAGAUAGCUGGUUCUCCCCGAAAGCUAUUUAGGUAGCGCCUCGUGAAUUCAUCUCCGGGGGUAGAGCACUGUUUCGGCAAGGGGGUCAUCCCGA
rnacentral:rRNA from 1 species